UCCUUUCUAUAGUUGCUCUUGCGAAUCUUAGUGAAUUGGUGAGAAUGAAAGAAGAAAUGAGCUUCUAUUUAUAGGAAAACAUAGCUUCGAUUAUUGCACGUUUAGGGGCUUAAAUUAUUACAGUUUAGUACCUUCAUCUUUGCCUCAAUUUUUAGUUUAGUCCUUCGAGUAUUAUCAAUCUUGCACAACCUCCCCUAAUAGUAAAUGCAUGUGAACCAAU
rnacentral:lncRNA from 1 species